rnacentral:rRNA from 1 species
AUACGUAGGUGGCAAGCGUUGUCCGGAAUUAUUGGGCGUAAAGCGCGCGCAGGUGGUUCCUUAAGUCUGAUGUGAAAGCCCCCGGCUCAACCGGGGAGGGUCAUUGGAAACUGGGGAACUUGAGUGCAGAAGAGGAUAGUGGAAUUCCAAGUGUAGCGGUGAAAUGCGUAGAGAUUUGGAGGAACACCAGUGGCGAAGGCGACUGUCGGGUCUGUAACUGACACUGAGGCGCGAAAGCGUGGGGAGCAAACAGGAUUAGAUACCCUGGUAGUCCACGCCGUAAACGAUGAGUGCUAAGUGUUGGGGGGUUUCCGCCCCUCAGUGCUGCAGCUAACGCAUUAAGCACUCCGCCUGGGGAGUACGGUCGCAAGACUGAAACUCAAAUGAAUUGACGGGG